AUCUCCGAUCUUGGUUUUUAGAAUCGGAUCGGCAUUUUUAAGGUUCUAACGUCAAGCUUCGUAUCUCAAUCUUCAAUUACUAUCCUAUUCGACUACAUCAGAUGUAAGAUCAAGCAGAUCAGAAAAUGGGUCCGUACGGUGUUCAUGACUUAGAUGCAGAUUAAAGGACUGAAAUGCAAGAUAAGUUUAACAGUACAAAUUUGUUUGUCUAAAUUCUUAUCUUAGAAUAUUUAACAUAUUCUAGAUCUUUAAUUUAUUUUUGUAUUAUUGUCUAUAUACCUAACAUCAGACAUUAUUGGCUUCUGAGUAUUCCUAGGAUAUUAUACACUAACCAAAUGAUACCUAAUUUAAUUGCAGAGGUGUAGUUGUUAGAUCUAUAUCUACACAUUCAAAGGUGGGAAGGUAAGGAGGCAUCAACGGAGUUCAAUAGGUGUAAAUUUGUGCAAUGAACAAAAAAUUCUUAGGUUAUCCUCAUAAAUUCAUCAUUUUAGUUGUGGUUUUGGAAUAGAUAUUGUGACUAACAUUUUUUCUAAGCUUUGGCAAAUGAUGAAGUUACAGUUCUGAUGCCCUAACUGUAAACAGCAACUUAGUGGAUUGCAGAGAAUUAAUUUUACAUGUCUAUUUCCCUUUUUGGUUGAUAAGCCUUAAUUAUUAUUCAUAUAAAUAGUUCUUGUGUUUUUAAUAUUUAGUACAUCCAAUUUAUCUUCCAAAGGUUAUCUGAUAUGUACUGUGAUGUCCAAGGUGUUAGGCCUAAAAUGUCAAAGUUUAUCUCAUAUGGACUGUGAUGAUCCAGUUCCAAAGCAGUCUGACUUUGUAACAGUUUUAAAUUAUAUUUACUUCAAUGGAUUGCAGUUUACCAAAUGUUUUUACUCAUUUAUCCUAAAUAUAUUCUAUUUAGUAUACUUUGAAUAGAAUAAAACUGAAUAGAAAGAAUAUACUGUUCAUAUUCUAUCUAAACUAAUUGAGAAUGUAAAUGAAAUUGUAACUAAUUAAAGGUUGUUUUGAUUGGUGGUUUAGGAUUUAAUUGAGUUAUUUAUACACUUUUCUUCUUUAGAAAUUUGACCAAUGUAAUAGUUAUGUUAAAAAAAAAAACACAAAUAGACAUUACUUUGAAUUGUUUAUUUUGUAUUCACAUUUUAUCACAAUUAGUCUGAAUUGUACUGUUAUGAGUCCUAUGUACUGUUAUGUAGUGUUAACAUUAGGUGUGAUAUGUACUUUUCCUCAUGUCAACAGUGUUAGUCCCAGAUUGUGUACUUUGAUCUCAGAUAGACAUGAUCAUACAUCUUGUAAUUUGAAAACAACAGUUUUAUUUUGUAAUGAGGAAGUUCCCUGCAGUGUUACUCCUCUAUUUCAAAUUUACCUGUGUAUGAGUUUUUAAUUGACAUUUCUAGGCUUGAUUUGGGUUCGGUAUACAUUCGACUUCUUAAAAUGUAAUUUCAUUUGAAACUGACCAAGUGAAUUUAUGCUGAGUUUUUUUUUUUUUUUUACUCUUUAAAUAAUGUUUAAUUAAAGAUAUACGAAUGAUAAGUGUAUUGUGUUUGUUCUUUGUUUUUUGAUGCAUAAAAACACCAA